AACAUUCUAUGUUCCACCAGCUGCUUUGUGAUGUCACCAUUGGGCCACCAGAGAAAACGUAAAAAGUUUACGUGUUCCUCAGCCACUCUGACCUGAUGAAACAUCCCUUUGAUGUCUGUCAUAAGCGCUAUUGGACCCUGCCGAAAGCGAAUCAACACACCUAAUAAAGUGCUAGUCAAAUCUGGGCCUUGUAACAGCUCUUUGUUCAGUGAUGUUCCAGCAAAUGUUGAAGCACAAUCAUACACAACACGCAGUGUUUUCUUGCGGGGGUGGUAGACCCCAUGAUGAGGUAUAUACCACACCUUUCCUUCCUCAUGCUUCAACUGUUCUUGUGGUAUGAUUUCUGAAUGUCCCUCCAUACUAACAUUGUGCAUGAAUUCCUUGUAUUCUUCAAAGAAUAACUGAUCCUUCUCAGACCGUUUUAGCAGAUAUUGUGCCCUCUGCUGAGCCACCUGCUUGUUGUUUGGCAUUCUUACUUCAGGUUUACGAAAGGGUAAUUUCAAGUAAUAAUGACCAUCCUUAAGUACAGCUGACUCUGAUAUUAUGUUCAUGAACUGUUUAUCUUCUACAGACAUUUCUGCACACUCAUUACACUGGCUCUCCACAAAAUCUUGAUUAUACUGUUUAACCAGCAUUUCCUCUAAACUACUUAUAGAAAUGCGGUUUACCUGGACAAAACUAGCAUCAUGCUCAUCCUUUUCACUACCAUGAUUGAGUGGCCCAUUGACAACCCAACCAAGACGAGUUAGCACAGCAUAGGGUCCAUUACCCUCACUGUUAACGAUUCUCCAAGGUUCCUGCGCUUUGGGAGAAUUUACACCAAUAAGCAGCCCAAUGCCAGCAUUUAUCGGUGGCAACUCAACAUCUUUUAAAUGCAUUUAACUGCAUCAUCAACGCCUCGGUGCAAAAAGUUGCAGCGCUGCCAGGAUCAAGAAAGGCGUAUGUCUCCACAACCUUCGUCCCAUUUUCCAACUUCAGUUUUACUGGAACAACUGACAAAGCACAUUCAUUAGACCCGGCCCCAGUAUGGCUACCAAAGUUCAAAGAAACAAGAGCAUUUGAGACUGAUGAUUCUUUACAUUCAGCUUUAGCUGCUUGCCA
ensembl:lncRNA